AAUUCGCCCUUAGAGUUUGAUCAUGGCUCAGAACGAACGCUGGCGGCAGGCUUAACACAUGCAAGUCGAGCGCCCCGCAAGGGGAGCGGCAGACGGGUGAGUAACGCGUGGGAAUCUACCCAUCUCUACGGAACAACUCCGGGAAACUGGAGCUAAUACCGUAUACGUCCUUAUGGAGAAAGAUUUAUCGGAGAUGGAUGAGCCCGCGUUGGAUUAGCUAGUUGGUGGGGUAAUGGCCUACCAAGGCGACGAUCCAUAGCUGGUCUGAGAGGAUGAUCAGCCACACUGGGACUGAGUCACGGCCCAGACUCCUACGGGAGGCAGCAGUGGGGAAUAUUGGACAAUGGGCGCAAGCCUGAUCCAGCCAUGCCGCGUGAGUGAUGAAGGCUCUAGGGUUGUAAAGCUCUUUCAACGGUGAAGAUAAUGACGGUAG
rnacentral:rRNA from 1 species